rnacentral:rRNA from 1 species
AUUGCCUCAGUAACGGCGAGUGAAGCGGCAACAGCUCAAAUUUGAAAUCUGGCUCUUUCAGGGUCCGAGUUGUAAUUUGUAGAAGAUGCUUCGGGUGUGGUUCCGGUCUAAGUUCCUUGGAACAGGACGUCAUAGAGGGUGAGAAUCCCGUAUGUGACCGGCUACCUUCGCUCAUGUGAAGCUCUUUCGACGAGUCGAGUUGUUUGGGAAUGCAGCUCAAAAUGGGUGGUAAAUUUCAUCUAAAGCUAAAUAUUGGCCAGAGACCGAUAGCGCACAAGUAGAGUGAUCGAAAGAUGAAAAGCACUUUGGAAAGAGAGUUAAAUAGUACGUGAAAUUGUUGAAAGGGAAGCGCUUGCAAUCAGACUUGCACGCAGUUGAUCAUCCGGUGUUCUCACCGGUGCACUCUGCUGCGUUCAGGCCAGCAUCGGUUCUGGUGGUUGGAUAAAGGCCUUGGGAAUGUAGCUCCUUUCGGGGAGUGUUAUAGCCCUCGGUGCAAUGCAGCCUACCGGGACCGAGGACCGCGCUUCGGCUAGGAUGCUGGCGUAAUGGUUGUAAGCGACCCGUCUUGAAACACGGACCAAGGAGUCUAACAUCUAUGCGAGUGUUUGGGUGUCAAACCCAUACGCGUAAUGAAAGUGAACGGAGGUGAGAACCCUUAAGGGUGCAUCAUCGACCGAUCCUGAUGUCUUCGGAUGGAUUUGAGUAAGAGCAUAGCUGUUGGGACCCGAAAGAUGGUGAACUAUGCGUGAAUAGGGUGAAGCCAGAGGAAACUCUGGUGGAGGCUCGCAGCGGUUCUGACGUGCAAAUCGAUCGUCAAAUUUGCGCAUAGGGGCGAAAGACU